ensembl:lncRNA
CGAAAAUGUGUAAGCCCUUGUCACUUCCGGGAACUCCGGACGCCCCAAAUCAAGGGAAAUCUGCAGCAGGUGUGUCCAAUGACGUGGCGAUUGCAGACGGGGCAGUUCGGGAGUAUAAAGAGAGCAUCGAGGAUACAGGAAGGUGUGUUGUUUUGCCUCCCAAGGAACGCCACGAGUGAGACGGAGUGUUUUGGGCGCUGGAGUAGGGCGAAGCAGAUGAGAGCAAUUGUGGAGUCGCUAAGCGAAUUGGAGGAUUUGAAAACGGCCACUGGAACAGGUUUGCCAAAGCGAAGUUUGUGGAAAGAAGUCGUACUCACUCGUAUCUGUUGUACGAAGGUUCCGUAGGGAAAUAGUGACAUUGUGGAACAACGAAGACAUUUCUGGGCGUCUGCAUGAAGCUGGGGAGAGAAAGAAAGCGGGAGAAGAUCAGUAUUACGAAGACUCUUGUUGAGCGGCCCCAUCGUUGGAGGACGAGACGAGUGGGUGAGCCGAAGUAGAGCGUGGGUGAAUGGAUGUUAUUUGGCUGUGGCCACACCGUAAAGUUUGGAGCACUUACCGUGCCAGCGACUGCAAACUCCUCCAGGACGAAAUCCGACCGGGCGCGGAGUACCGACCUUAAAAAUCACUGAAGUGUGUGUAGUGCAGUGGGUGAGUCUGUCUUUGACGUGUGUACACCAAAGCUUUGCAGUGCUGUGCCGUGUCCCUGUUGUCUGUACUCGCCCUCCAGGCCGAGAAAAGUUCCUGUUGGAGAGAACGUAGGCUGCCGUGGCGGUGCCCACCUAUCCCACCUACGCCCGCCUAUAACUCCGUUCCCCGGACCCAGCUUGAAGGUGAAGCGUGAAUGCAAAACAAGGAGAAGAGAAGGGCGCCACGGGAAAUCAAGCCGCUAAGGAAGGACUUAGGAUCAGUCAGGAGAUUGGUGGAAGUUCUGGGAAAGGACGAAAGAGCCCUUUGCCCCCCCUCCCCUUGUGAUUACUUACCAACGACCUUCAGAGUUCUCAGGCCCAGUCCCCUCCUGUCAAGAGACGAAAAUCAAAAUUUUAGAUUCCCC